AUUGAACGCUGGCGGCAGGCCUAACACAUGCAAGUCGAGCGGAUGACGGGAGCUUGCUCCUGGAUUCAGCGGCGGACGGGUGAGUAAUGCCUAGGAAUCUGCCUGGUAGUGGGGGACAACGUUUCGAAAGGAACGCUAAUACCGCAUACGUCCUACGGGAGAAAGCAGGGGACCUUCGGGUCUUGCGCUAUCAGAUGAGCCUAGGUCGGAUUAGCUUGUUGGUGAGGUAAUGGCUCACCAAGGCGACGAUCCGUAACUGGUCUGAGAGGAUGAUCAGUCACACUGGAACUGAGACACGGUCCAGACUCCUACGGGAGGCAGCAGUGGGGAAUAUUGGACAAUGGGCGAAAGCCUGAUCCAGCCAUGCCGCGUGUGUGAAGAAGGUCUUCGGAUUGUAAAGCACUUUAAGUUGGGAGGAAGGGUUGUAGAUUAAUACACUGCAAUUUUGACGUUACCGACAGAAUAAGCACCGGCUAACUCUGUGCCAGCCGCCGCCGUAACAC
rnacentral:rRNA from 1 species